GGGGUCGACAGGAAUCGACAGGAGGAGUAAUGGGCAAGUAAGCAUGCAGGGCCUUGGAAGCUGUCCCUUAAAACGCAACUUUCAAUCGUCUAAAUGGCGAAAACAACUAUGCGCUUGCUGCCUAAUCCGCCGCGCGGAUUAGCUUAAUCUACGGCUCCAGGAGCCGGGACGAGCUGCCCUACCCCUGCCUCCCGCCUGCCGGGCGGAGGAUCAGGGCAUCACAAUGGCAGGCUGGUCUUACCGGAGUUCUGACGGUUUGACGAGAUAAAAGAACUAAGGAAGGUGACGGUUCGUAACUCACCUAACAUCUUCCCUACAAUUCAAGCAGCUACUAAGCAUGUAGAAAGCUUGUUGAUUCCCUGGCUGGACGUGGGUUCAAAUCCCACCGGCUCCACCA
rnacentral:tmRNA from 1 species